UACGUAGGGUGCAAGCGUUAAUCGGAAUUACUGGGCGUAAAGCGCGCGUAGGCGGCUUUUUCAAGUCGAUUGUGAAAUCCCCCGGGGCUUAACCUGGGAACUGCAGUCGAGACUAUCUAGCUAGAGUAUGGGAGAGGGAAGUGGAAUUUCAGGUGUAGCGGUGAAAUGCGUAGAUAUCUGAAGGAACAUCAGUGGCGAAAGCGACUUCCUGGACCAAUACUGACGCUCAUGUGCGAAAGCGUGGGGGAGCAAACAGG
rnacentral:rRNA from 1 species